rnacentral:rRNA from 1 species
AUUGAACGCUGGCGGCAGGCCUAACACAUGCAAGUCGAGCGGAUGAAGGGAGCUUGCUCCUGGAUUCAGCGGCGGACGGGUGAGUAAUGCCUAGGAAUCUGCCUGGUAGUGGGGGAUAACGUCCGGAAACGGGCGCUAAUACCGCAUACGUCCUGAGGGAGAAAGGGGGGGAGCUUCGGACCUCACGCUAUCAGAUGAGCCUAGGUCGGAUUAGCGAGUUGGUGGGGUAAAGGCCUACCAAGGCGACGAUCCGUAACUGGUCUGAGAGGAUGAUCAGUCACACUGGAACUGAGACACGGUCUAGACUCCUACGGGAGGCAGAAGUGGGGAAUAUUGGCAACUGGGCGAAAGCCUGAUCCAGCCAUGCCGCGUGUGUGAAGAAGGUCUUCGGAUUGUAAAGCACUUUAAGUUGGGAGGAAGGGCAGUAAGUUAAUACCUUGCUGUUUUGACGUUACCAACAGAAUAAGCACCGGCUAACUUCGUG